AUGUUAUAAAAUAUAUUAGUGCCAAUAAAUACAGAAUGGUACCAGACUUUCAACUGUCAGUAUUUUUGAUGCAGUCUGAAGGAUAGAAACUACCACCUAGGAGAUAAGUGAAGGGGAUUUUUCAGUCUAAAGAAACGACGACGACAAAAAAAUAAUAAUAAUAUAACUCUCUCUCUCUCUCCAGGAAAUCCUCCAUCUGCCAGUAGUAUUCCUACAGUCGCCCUCCUGCCUGGCGGGGAGGUCCCCGGGGGCGAUGCCUCGCAGGAGGAUGCGGCGGCGAGCACCCGCUCGCAGCCGUGACAGGUCAGCUCCGCUUCCAAGUUGACCGGGCUCAAUACCAGAGAAGAUGUAUAAUUAAAUAGUAGUAAGAACGAUUAAAAAAAACCCCAAACAACCCAGCCUUCGCCAUAUUCGUGUGCCAGAAGUUUCCUAAAUUGCCGGCAGGUUUGCACGAGGCGCCUGUCAAAUAGCAGGUACCCAAGGAGCACCAUCCCCAUCACGGGGAUAUAAACGGUUCAGCCAAUGGAAAAAUCCUCAAAUCCCUAUUUUGGGGCUUUUUCCCUCCAUCUGGGUGGCUCCGCAGCCCUCGGGAGCUCCCACCAGCAGCCCGCUCCUGGGGCCAGAGCUGCCGCCUCCCCCUGGUGCCGGCAAUGCCAGGAAUCUCUCCCAUGACCGAAUCUCACAUUUUCCAAGGGGGGAAUUAAAGCCGGGAGGUUUUAAAGCCUUUUUUUUUUUUUUUUUCCCUCAUACCGCUGGCAUAGGCACUUAGUGUAUCACUGACAUACAGAUUUUAUGUCCAGUUACAUCUCGUGGCCAAAUAGUGUCAUGUUCUCAGACUGAUUUAAAUAGCAAAGGGCCAAGAGGGCCCCCAAUAUCCUUUCUAAACACGAUGACUUCUCUCAUUUUUAAAAAAAAA